rnacentral:rRNA from 1 species
GAUGAACGCUGGCGGCGUGCUUAACACAUGCAAGUCGAACGGAAAGGCUCCUGCUUGCAGGGGUACUCGAGUGGCGAACGGGUGAGUAACACGUGGGUGAUCUGCCCUGCACUUCGGGAUAAGCCUGGGAAACUGGGUCUAAUACCGGAUAGGACGAUGGUUUGGAUGCCAUUGUGGAAAGUUUUUCGGUGUGGGUUGAGCUCGCGGCCUAUCAGCUUGUUGGUGGGGUAAUGGCCUACCAAGGCGUCGACGGGUAGCCGGCCUGGGAGGGUGUACGGCCACAUUGGGACUGAGAUACGGCCCAGACUCCUACGGGAGGCAGAAGUGGGGAAUAUUGCACAAUGGGCGCAAGCCUGAUGCAGCGACGCCGCGUGGGGGAUGACGGCCUUCGGGUUGUAAACUCCUUUCGCUAGGGACGAAGCGCAAGUGACGGUACCUGGAGAAGAAGCCCCGGCUAACUACAUG